AAAAAUAAAUGGUUGCAAAUGCUGCAGGAAAAUUUGGAGCAAAUUCUUCCACAUGCAACUACUCGAAUGUGCAAAAUGGCACCUCCUGAUUUUUCAAAGUUUUUAAAGGGGGGUAUGGUCAUGAUAAAAACUUUUAGGAAAACUGGACCUUGGGAGGCAAAUUGGGAAGGUCCUUAUAACAUAACAGAUACAAUGGGUCAAACAAUGGUACAAGUGCAAAGACCUCUUGAUGGUUCACGGAAUAAACGGAGGCAAAAUUUUUUUGGGUUCAUGCAGAUCAGUGCAAAUUGUAUAAACCUACAACAUAAUUUGGUAAUAUAUUGAUACUGCUUUGUUUUUCUCAGUUUAUUUUAGAUAAUUUGUAAGCAGACCUACAGACGAAAGUUGGCCGGUGACAGACGAUGUGUUCCCAAAGACAACCGUGUAGCAGAAAGAAGGUGUUCGUCAGCAUCCUGCUAACAUUGAUGACUACAGUUCUUGUAAUAGUUAUUUUUAAGAUGAACAAAACGACUUUCAAUCAGGAAUUAAAGAAUGACUUAUUUGGAAAUAUUAGAAAAAAGAG